AUGCGGAUCUGCUGAAGGAUGGUGUGGUUCCUCAGUUACCUGAAUCAUUGUUUGAUUUCGUUGGAUAAGACUUCAAUGGCCUGGCUGUGUAGUCAGAGAAGAACAAAUAAGAUUGUUUCAGGAUAAAUCUGGAAGCUCCGUACUACAGACACAAAGCACUUGACUGCUUCAAGACCAGCGUUACAGAAUGUAAGGCUUUAUGUAGUCUUCAACUUGCCAUCAAACUGCAAUGCCAGUGCCACAAGCACAAGGAAUUUCCAACUUCAGAACCCCUCCAAAGCCAGAGGUCAGUUUGCAUUCAGUUUUCUCCAGCAGCAUCACAAAACACGACGCUUAAAGUGCACGCAUCAACCCAUGCUACUCCGCUGACAAAUAGCUCCUGAAGUGACAGCAGCAAAGGAAGGAAGGCUGACAAGGUGUACUUCCCAGAGCUGAACACAAAAGUUAUUUAAAAGCUCCUCGUUAGCAUGGGGAUUUUAAAUUCCUCAGGCUUUAACCUGCUCAGAAUCUUUUGAGAGGAAUAAAAGGCAGAGCAAACAAUGAAGCCAACCUAUAAGCGAAGGAGGACACAAAGCAGAUUUUCAUAUUCACUCUAAGUGACAGCUGGAUGAAUUACACA
rnacentral:lncRNA from 1 species